rnacentral:lncRNA from 1 species
ACGUUGCGUGGUUUCGGGUCUGACGUUCGAGUAAAACCCGAGGGAGGAGGCUGCAGUUCCCCGAGAGCGAGCUUGGCGGGGACCCUGCGUCCCUGUCAGCGCACCUUCCCGCUCCGCGAAGGUCCGAAGCGUGUGGGCGGGGCCCCAGGAGUUCUCCCAGGAGGGUGUCUGUCCCUGUCCCUGUCCGCAGUCCACCGCCGGAGGGGCGGGGCAACGGCCUGGGAGCGUCUGGGCGGCGGCGCGCGCCCGCGAGGAGAGGAGCGCGCGCGGCUGCCGGGCCACCGUCGCGGGAGGCGUGGGAGGCGUCGGCGAGCCGCGCCUGCCUGGCCAGAGCCGAGCCCCGCGGAGUCCGGCCGCGCUCUGCGGCUCUCUCCCGGGCCGGGCUCGUCCGUGGACGCCGCUCCGUGUCCCCGCUGGGCACAGCAGCCCGGGCCCUCCACAGCCAUGGCCGCUGGCCUGAGGUGGCCCUCCUUCAGCUCCCGCUCUUCCUGCUCGCCGGACACGGACGACCAGGGCGCCUGCGAAGAUGAUGCCAUCUGGGAGAGCUCCCGCUCUUCCUGCUCGCCGGACACGGACGACCAGGGCGCCUGCGAAGAUGAUGCCAUCUGGGAGAGGUACCUGGGGGCGUGGGCCUGGGGCUGGUGGGAGGCGAGCGUGUUUCUGAGGAAUAGGCUUGUGCGCCGAGAGGUGCCCGUCAGGUCGCGGGACAGCUGUGCGGCGCGCGGAGCGGGGGGGGGGGGUGGGGGGUCUCUUCGUGCGCGUCACUCGUUCAUGGAACGGGCGGUGUGUGCCGGGCACGGAGCCAGCCUGGGGACGCGGUGCCCGGGAGUCGGGCGCUGAAGCGGCCCCCGUGGUCUUGGCUUCUUGGAGGGACAGACGCGAAGUCGAUACGGACACUGGUCUCGAGGCGUUCUGAGGAGUGCAGGUCUCCCUGUUUUAGAGGCUACGUUCCGUUGGGGUUUUCCUGAAGCCUGUUGUGCCCCUGAAGCUCAGGCCGGUUCAGGGGAAGUGGCCUGUCGAGGGCCACGUAACGUUUGUGUGCAGAGCCAGUGCUUUCCAAAGCCCUUGACUGUGCGGAAGUCUAGCUGUUAGGGGUGCAGUGGGGGCUGUCCGGGGAGCAUUGUGAGCACAGGUAUGUGUCCCACACUUGAAAGUCUGGCAGAGAAAGCGUGAGGCUCGAGGGUGCUCCGUUCGUUGCCUCCUUCCACAGAAAGUCUGGAGAGUUGACCUUGGGACAAGUCCUUCCUUUCCUCUGGUCGGUGCGUGUUCAGUGGUCUGGACACUUGGUGAGCAAGACUGACAGGGUGUUUGACGUACUGGGCCUCACAGCCUAGUUGGAAAGGACAGAUAGGCAGCGACUAGUUACCUAGGAGAUACGUAAAAACUAUUUCGUGUUGGGUGCUGAGAAACACGGCAUUUACUGAUAGACUUUGUGGCUUAGGCAGUGAUGUUGAAGCUGAGAGCAGAUGCCUACAAGAAAAGGAGGACUUGUGCGGGAGAGCGUUGGGACGGGCAAGGGAGGAGUAUGGCCUGUCAGGAGCUGAAAGAGUGCCCUGGAGCCUGGGGCCGCGUAGGGACUGUAGGGUGGGGAAAACAAAACUUUUCGGUUAAGGCUGGCGCUUUCUAUAGGUUUUUGGAGACUAAGCGUGGUGAUUCGGAGCGUGGACUCUGGAGCCAGACUCUGUCAAAUGGGUCCUAGCUCUGCCACCUACGGGCUGUGUGAACUUGGGCAAGUUACCGUACCAUUCUGUGUGUCAGUUUCCUGAUCUGUCAAACGGGGAUGAUUAUCAUACACACUCCAUAGGUGAGUGUAAAGGUGAGAGGAUAUUUCAUAGCCGUAAAGUACUUAGAGCAGCGUCUGGCCUGUAGUAGGCGUUAGUAGUGGUUGAUUAAAUAAAUGGAUAAAUGCAUACA